rnacentral:tRNA from 1 species
CCCCGGGUGGUGCAAAUGGUUAACACAUUCGGUUGCUAACUGAAAGGCUGGAGGUUUAAAAUCUACCCAGAGGU